UGACCUUCCGAAGACUCUUCGGCACGAGGGCGUACCAGCAGAUAAAAGCUGGAGAGUUGACUCGGACGAAAUGCUGGACUUCCUGAUGCUGCCUCGUAACAAGAACUGGCUGGCUGG
rnacentral:lncRNA from 1 species